ensembl:lncRNA
AGACUGGAUCAGGCUCUGAGAAUCUGAUCUAUCUGACCUCCAUUUGCACCUCAGCCAGUAUGCACCGGGCUCACAGUUAGCGGUUGGGUUUAAUCCUUUUACUCCUUGUGUGAAGGAAUGCGCACCCACCGGCAGCUCUCCUCAGCUCAGGCUCAUCCUCCUCUCCUCCAAAGGGCCCGAGUAUGGAUCUUUGCCUUUACUCAGUGCUCCCUACACUAUUUCCAGCCUCGGCACUCUUUCAGCAAAAUUAAGAGGAUAACAAGAGCUUUGCUGCACGAGCUAUCAAAUGCUUCUCCCUAUCUGUGAAGUGCCACAAAGGCUGCUGCGAAGCGUCCUUUUUCCAGCCCAGGUAGCUCUUUACAGCUGCUCUAUGCUUUUUACUGGGUUAUCUGCAGAAGCUCCUUGUGUUUCCACUGUUUGUAAAUUGUGUUUCUUUCUGCUGUGUUCCCUCCUUUCCGCAUUCUCCACACUCACCAUAACUCACUGCACACUGUAUCUCUGCCUCCCAAGAAGAGGUUAAUUUUGGUUGACUGAAAUAUGCAGUGGGGACAUGGGAGAAUCUCCUGUCCCUGUAGUUACAUGCUUCUACUCUUUUCCAAAGCCAAACAAUAAAAUACAACUGGGAAAGACACAACAGUGUUGCCGCUCUGUCAACAUGGGCAGUGAUGUUACUUGUCAACAUAAGUGUGCCCAAAGGUUUGGUUUGCUGCUGCUGCUUGGAUUGUGGAACAACCAGGAUGGCUUUGUGAGCCUGGGAACAUGCAAAACUCCAAUGAGAAGCAGCCCCUGGCCUGAGGAGCUGCAGCACUGUUGGACAGACAGACAGGGAGAAGUCACGGAGACAGUGGUGCUGGGAUGAGGAGUAAUUAAUCCCAGGCUUCUGCUAUUGGAGGGCUCUCCAGGGCCCUGAGUUGACCACUAAAGCAGGCACCAACUCUAAGGAGAUUUUAUAGUCCCUUUUACUCAAUCAGUGAACGUUUAAGGCAAUAUUUUGACAUUCCUGUAUUGAUUUUACUCUGUGUAUCUCUGGCGAGCCAUUUUGCUGCAGCACCAGCUCACUGAGCAAGCAGUUUUAAGCUGAACGGAUGCCUCCUAGCUUUAGAGUCCUUCUUGGAGAUGCUGUUGUCCACCUGAAGGACAGCUUUGCCCUGGUGUGAUUUGAGACUGGCUGGUGGAUGCGGCUUGUGAAAGGUGCUGAGAGUCUGUUGCCUAAAAGUCUAAUAAAAUCAAAUGCUGUGACAAUGACUGUGGUCAGAGCAACAUCUGCUUCCUCUGAAAAAUCACAAGCAUGGAACAUAGCAGGCUGGGAGGGACAGAAAAAAUAAACAAAUGCAAAUUUUAUUUUUUUAAAUGCCCUCCGGCAUCUACAGAGCAUUCAUGGUACGUCCCAGCACCACCUCACACCCUUGUCACGAUGUGGGGAUGCUAUGGGACUGACGGGGAAGGAGCAGGGUGGUGUGGGACAGUAAUGGAUCUCUGGCCAAGGAGGCUGAUCCAGCAGGUCCUUGUGCCUGUAGACUCUUCCUGCACCUGAACCCUCCCUUCCGCCACAGGAGAGAAAUGUUUGGAAAGAUUUUCAGAGUGACCUUCCUCCUCCUCCUCGUUAAAUUUAGCUCGAUCUUGUAAAGCUCCAUCAGGAACAGAAAUUAGAGGGCUGAGUGUUUUGGUUCGCAGUUAUCUGCAAGGUCAGCGGGAAGUACAGUUUGCGUUGGUGAAGGUUCCUUGGUUCUCCUGCAGUUUAAACACAGAGGCAGCACGUUAAAAAUAAAAGCAAAAUG